rnacentral:lncRNA from 1 species
CCCUUUCCUUCCUUUCUUUUUGGUUUAGAGAAGCCCUUUCAGUAUUUCUUUUAGCCUGGGUUUUGUGUUGCUGUAUUCUUUUAGUUUUUGUUUGUUGGAAAAAAAAAAAUUAUUUCUCCUAUUUUAAAUGAUAUUCUUGCUGGAUAGAGUAUUCUAGGUUACAUAUUUUUUCCUUUUAGGGACUGAGUGAUUUAAACUUUAAGUGUGCUUUCUAUAUUUUUCACUUCAGUUAUUGUAUUAAUCAUCUCUGUUUGUUAUUUAUAUCUUAUAGCUCUUUAUUAAACAUUUAUUUUAAUUUCUCAUUCUGUGCCUCCAUUUUUUUCUGAGAUCUUGGAUCAUCUUUACUAUCCUUACUCUAAAUUCUUUUUUGGGUAAAUUGCCUAACUCCAUCUUACUUAGUUAUUCUUCUGAGGUUUUGUUCUUUCAUCUGGAACAUUUUUCUCUGCCAUCUUGUUCCAUACCUUUCUGUGUCUGUGGUCUCAUUUCUACAGGCUGCCAGACUGUAGCCCCUCUUGCUUCUGGUGUCUUUCCUCCAGUGGGUGAAGCUGAUCUAGGGGCUUGUGCAGGUUUCCUGGUGGGAGAGAUGGUGCCUUCCCACUAGUGGGUGUUGCUGAGUCUUGUCCCUCUGGUGGGAGCCAUGUUGAAGCGUGUGUUUAGAGGAAGCUGAGUGCCUUGGACAAAUUUAGGCAGCCUGUCUGCUGAUGGGUGGGGCUUUAUUCCCAGUGUUUGUUGUGGGGCCUGAGGUUCCCAGCAUUGGAAUCUAUAGCCUAUUGGGUGGGGCCAGUUUUUGUUUCCAAAAUGAGGGAAGCUCAGACCCAUGAUUGUUCCCUGGGGCCUCUACCUCUCAUGUCCUGCCCCCACAGUGAGCCACAGCUGACCCCUACCUCCCCAGGAGAUCCUCCAAGACCCACAGGUAGUGGUCCAGAUUCUUAUGGAGUUCCUCCUUUGCCCUGGGACCCAGUGAACAUGAAAUGUGGUGUGAGCCUUCCAAGAGUGGAGUCUCUGUUUCUGCCAGUCCUGUGAAGUUCCUGCACUCAAACCCCAAUGACCUUCAAAGCCCAAAGUUCUGCAGGCUCCUCAUCCCUAUGCCAGAACCCCAAGUUGUGGAAUGUGACUUGUAGCUCAGAUCUCUUACUCCUGUGGGAGAAACUCUGUGACACAGUUAUUUUCCAGCUUGUGGGUCACCCACCCAGCAGGCGUAGGAUUUGCUUAUAUUGCAAAAGUGCCCAUCCCUACCACGUCUUUGUGGCUUCUUCUUUGUCUUUGGGUAUAGAGUAUCUUUUUUGAUAGUGGUUCAGGUUUUUUUGUCUAUGGUUGUUCAGUAAUUAGUUGUGAUCUUGGCGUUUUUGUGAGAGAAGGUGAGCUCGAGUCCUUCUACUCCAACAUCUUGUCUCCUUCUCCUCUCAGACUUUCUACUUUGACUGGCCAUGGCCUUGACUUUGAACAUUUGUAGCUUUGAGAGCUACUAGUGAAGCAAAGUGAAAGCCUGAAAAGAAUGGAGCUGACCAGAAUACAACUAAUAAAUGGAGAAAGAAAUCUUCUCUGGACAACCCCCUUGAGCCACUGGACAAAACCUCAACAGAAACCAGUCUGUUCCCCACUUGGCUCCUGUCUACACCCUGUUCGGGGAGAAUGGUACCAUGGUAAAGCUGGACAAGUGCAGGAGGUCAGAGUCCCACUCGCCCUCUGCCCUCACUAUCCCAGCUGGGAGGAGCAGGACUGCAUGAUACUGCUCCCACACACUUGAGUUAAAACUCUUAAGGGAGAUGGUACCUCUGGCAAGUCGGGGAAGUCCCGGUUUCUUUCAUGGCCUUUUCUAACACCAACACAAUGGAGAUGAAGAUGUACACACUAAUACCCCUGUGUGUAAGUGGAAAUCCAGGCUCACCUUUGGUUUGGACACCAGGUGGGAUGCAUGUCCCAUUUCCCCAUUUGGUCUUUUUUGACACCACCUAGGCUGAAAAGAGAAAGCUGCUUCCUUACAGUUUGGUAAGGGCUGGUCUAGGCUCCCACUUGGCCUUCUCUGACAGUGUUGGGAGAGGGUUUGCAGAUUUUUCUGUGGUGUGCCACCGAAGUAGGGAAGUUAUUUCCUAAUUAUAUUCUCUCUGCUUGGCUGACUCUUGUCUGGCUGUUGGCUGAAGAGAGUAGGCAUUCCCUGGUACUUUUUGCCCUUACCCAUUCUCACUUCUGGUUGCUCUCUCUUCCAGGAUUCUAGUCUGUGAUAUUCAAGCAAAAGAGAACCCAGAGAAUGGCAGUUCCUUACAUUGGAGGCUCCUGGUGGGUCUGGCUUUUCUCCUUUCAGAGUCUUAAUAUUGAUUCACACAUGUCCAGGGUUUGUAGCUAUAUUAGCAGAAGGACUAGAGAAAAAUGCCUCUGUAUAUUGGGUUGAAAGCCUCCAUGUAUUGUUGAUUUUACUUCUAUGUUUCCAAGGGCUAUCUUUAUUGUCCAGAAUGUGGUGUGUCUUCAUGAUUUUUCCAAGGGUACUAAAGCAAAAUGUGCAUUCUUCAGCUGUUACUUGGGGUAUUCAUUCAUAUGAAUUAAGCCAAUUUUACUUACAGUUUUAUUAGAUCUGUAUUCCUACAAAAUGUUGUCUAAUGAUAUGACUCAAAGAUUCUCUGAAUCAAAAAGAGGGCUUCUAACAACCUAA